rnacentral:rRNA from 1 species
GAUGAACGCUGGCGGCGUGCCUAAUACAUGCAAGUCGAGCGAACGGACGAGAAGCUUGCUUCUCUGAUGUUAGCGGCGGACGGGUGAGUAACACGUGGAUAACCUACCUAUAUGACUGGGAUAACUUCGGGAAACCGGAGCUAAUACCGGAUGAUAUUUUGAACCGCAUGGUUCAAAAGUGAAAGACGGUCUUGCUGUCACUUAUAGAUGGAUCCGCGCUGCAUUAGCUAGUUGGUAAGGUAACGGCUCACCAAGGCAACGAUGCAUAGCCGACCUGAGAGGGUGAUCGGCCACACUGGAACUGAGACACGGUCCAGACUCCUGCGGGAGGCAGCAGUAGGGAAUCUUCCGCAGUGGGCGAAAGCCUGACGGAGCAACGCCGCGUGAGUGAUGAAGGUCUUCGGAUCGUAAAACUCUGUUAUUAGGGAAGAACAUAUGUGUAAGUAACUGCGCACAUCUUGACGGUACCUAAUCAGAAAGCCACGGCUAACUACGUG